rnacentral:rRNA from 1 species
AGUUAAAAAGCUCGUAGUUGGAUUUCUGUGUUGGUGAGGCGGCCGGCCAUUCGUGGUUGUAGCUAGUUAUCACCGACGCAUCUUGUCACAAGCCACGCUGGCCUUAACUGGUUGGCGUUGGGGACUGACUCGUUUACUUUGAGAAAAUUAGAGUGUUCAAAGCAGGCUAUCGCCUUGAAUAUGUUAGCAUGGAAUAAUGAUAUAGGACUUUGGUUCUAUUUUGUUGGUUGUUCGAGAACCGAAGUAAUGAUUGAUAGGGACAGUUGGGGGCAUCAGUAUUCUGAAGCGAGAGGUGAAAUUCUUGGACCUUCGGAAGACUAACAACUGCGAAAGCAUUUGCCUAGGAUGUUCUCUUUAAUCAAGAACGAAAGUUGGGGGAUCGAAGACGAUCAGAUACCGUCGUAGUCUCAACUAUAAACUAUGCCAGCUAGGGAUUGGUGGACGUUUAUUUAACGACUCCAUCA